AGUGAACGCUGGCGGUAGGCCUAACACAUGCAAGUCGAACGGCAGCACAGUAAGAGCUUGCUCUUACGGGUGGCGAGUGGCGGACGGGUGAGGAAUACAUCGGAAUCUACUUUUUCGUGGGGGAUAACGUAGGGAAACUUACGCUAAUACCGCAUACGACCUACGGGUGAAAGCAGGGGAUCUUCAGACCUUGCGCGAUUGAAUGAGCCGAUGUCGGAUUAGCUAGUUGGCGGGGUAAAGGCCCACCAAGGCGACGAUCCGUAGCUGGUCUGAGAGGAUGAUCAGCCACACUGGAACUGAGACACGGUCCAGACUCCUACGGGAGGCAGCAGUGGGGAAUAUUGGACAAUGGGCGCAAGCCUGAUCCAGCCAUACCGCGUGGGUGAAGAAGGCCUUCGGGUUGUAAAGCCCUUUUGUUGGGAAAGAAAAGCAUCAGGUUAAUACCCCGCUGUUCUGACGGUACCCAAAGAAUAAGCACCGGCUAACUUCGUG
rnacentral:rRNA from 1 species